rnacentral:rRNA from 1 species
UCGAGAAUUUUUCACAAUGGGCGCAAGCCUGAUGGAGCGACGCCGCGUGGGGGAUGAAUGGCUUCGGCCCGUAAACCCCUGUCAUUUGCGAUCAACCGUUGUUGUUUAAGAGAUGACAACCUGAUAGUAGCGAAAGAGGAAGGGACGGCUAACUCUGUGCCAGCAGCCGCGGUAAUACAGAGGUCCCAAGCGUUGUUCGGAUUCACUGGGCGUAAAGGGUGCGUAGGUGGCGGGGUAAGUCGGAUGUGAAAUCUCCGAGCUCAACUCGGAAAUGGCAUUGGAAACUGCUCUGCUCGAGGGUUGGAGGGGGGACUGGAAUACUUGGUGUAGCAGUGAAAUGCGUAGAUAUCAAGUGGAACACCAGUGGCGAAGGCGAGUCCCUGGACAACUCCUGACACUGAGGCACGAAAGCUAGGGGAGCAAACAGG